rnacentral:rRNA from 1 species
UACAGAGGUCCCAAGCGUUGUUCGAUUCACUGGGCGUAAAGGGUGCGUAGGUGGUGAGGUAAGUCGGAUGUGAAAUCUCCGAGCUCAACUCGGAAAUGGCAUUGGAAACUACCUUGCUCGAGGGUUGGAGGGGGGACUGGAAUGCUUGGUGUAGCAGUGAAAUGCGUAGAUAUCAAGCGGAACACCAGUGGCGAAGGCGAGUCCCUGGACAACUCCUGACACUGAGGCACGAAAGCUAGGGGAGCAAACAGG